AGUCUUAUAGUCUAUUUAGGAUAAUAAAUUGCAAAUUUAUUGGAGGGGCUGCCCUAAGGCUU
rnacentral:tRNA from 1 species